CCUAAAGCAAAGAUGGCAAUGACAGCUCCAACUGACUGGACAGCCAUAGCUAUCUGAGAGACACGUCGCUUUCUCAAGGCCCUCGUCACUGUCCCUGAGGAGGCCACAAUCCUGGCCGCCAGCCCAGGUGACUUAUCAUUUUCAGUAAUUGUGUGAGGUGGCUUAGCUCAGCCAAGCAACUCACAUACCUGUCAACCUGCAUACAUGACCUGGCAAAGCAGGCUUGAGCGAGUCCAUUUCACAUGUGAGGAUGCUGGGGCUCAGAGCCGUGGGCUGGCCUGCCCUUGGGGUCACAGAGCAGGAGAUGAGCCAAGCCCUGAGCGCUGAACCACAGGCUGAGCGUCUGUCCCCAAGCCCGCGGCCUUUCCAGGAAGACAGAGAAUCUGCUGCGUGGCGAACCCCUCUCUUCACCAUCGGCCUUGUCACCGUGGCUGCACAUGUUAAUAGUUUUUUCCUUGGAAAUACCCUGCUUUCAUUUGGCGUUGGCUUCUGCAACUGUGCGGUUUGCGAACAAUAUGAAAAUCAGCAUUUCAUCAAGAUGUAAAGCUUGUUAAGCAAGAUCUUGAAAUCCCUAAAAUUAUUCUUCCAGUAUCAAAUGGAACAAAGGAUGUUUGGAUUUGAAGUAUUCAUUUUGCAAAAACUGAAGUUUGUGUUCAUGAAUUUCUAAGAAAUAAGCUCAAGCAGAGACAGUUGAGGGUUUUCCAUCCUGUGAGUUUUGGGGUUUGAUACAAACCUGGUUGCCAGAGAGAGCGCGGUGGCGAAAAAUGGAGCCUCCCAGGGAGACGUGGGCACUUGCUGUGUGGUUCUGGGCUGCCCGUCUCUUGGUCCGUGUUUCUCCACUAGCGCUGUCGGAUUGGACACAGUGUCCCCUCUCGCCUCUCCAGCCAUGAUGGUCUUGUGAACGUGACCUCUCGGUCUACACUCAUUAGAACAAAGUCAGUCAUCUCCCCUGAGGGAGCCAUUCCUUAACCACAGCGGGUCUUUCUUCCCCGAGUUCAAUCCCACGUGCAACUGGAAGGCAAACUUUGGGUCUGGGAGUAGCCUGAUGUCCAGCUACUCAGCCCAGACCACAGACCUGUGGCCAUGAUAGGCGGGGCUGGGAGCUUGAGGGGCCUCCCAAGCCCCCUUCCAGGGCCAUGUAUCUCCUCUUGUUUUCCAGCUGUGGAGGGAUCUGGGGGAGGGAGGAGACACAAAGAGCUGAAGCGACAAGACCUCAGGAGGGUCCUCCUUUGAAGAAGGAUUCUGAUAGGAGAAGGCAGGAAACAUUGUUUUGAAUCUUGGCGGAACCAGAUCAUCCUUCAACAAAAGGGCUUUGACGUGGAAAGCAACACAGCAAAAAUCCUACCUGUUUCAUGCUGCCUGGUGGUAAGAACAUCAGCUCCGCCACCUGCCAGGUCUUCUGCUUGCAACCUGCAGAAACGGAGGCGCCAUUAUCCACAAGAGGAGCGUUUGGAAGGUUUAAACUAGGUGAUGUAUGUAGGGCGUCCGGUGCAAUUGCCGGCACAUAGGGGCAGCCCAGGAAUGUUUACUAAGUGAAAAUGGAGGCUUGUGCGGUGUCCAACUCUCUCAGUCUAAGGACGGUUUGGAAGGACAGAGGGGGACGUCAGUGGGUGAGUGGGGCUGAAGGAAAAACAAGGGGAAGCCACGGAGAGCCAGCGGUGAGAGGAAUGGAGGGCGAUCGGUGGAGAUGAAGCAGGAAGGUGAACGGAGAGGCAAAGGCAAGCCCUGGGAGAAGAGACUGGGGAGGAUGCGGAAGGCAGGGCCCAGGGAGCUGCAGAGUAAAGAGAGAUGGCACAGGCAGGCCUCAUCUCUUACUCAGAGAGUGAGAGGACAUACAAGCGCUUUCCGGUCAGGGCUGGAGAUUCAACGACUUUCCCCUCCAACGACCUCUCUUCUUUGGAGAGAGACAGGCCUGUCUCUCCACCCUUCCACUCCGCACUCCAGAAGGCUCUGCAUGAUGGACCCUGGUUGGGACAAGACCCCAGGUGACCCUGUCCACCUUCCCUCGGGGGUCCCCACUCCCUCUGGCUAAGACAGCUGGAGCUACGCUCUGAGGAUGGCUGGAGGCCCACUUUCUGGAACAAAGCAGUGAUUUCCUCCAGCACCGCGAUGGCCCACCCCCUCCCCAAAUCCUCAGGGAAGGGCAAUUUGUGGGAACGGAGCUGCUGGGUAAUAGAUUUCUCUGUCAACAUGAUGAGUGAAAGAAAGAACGAGGGCUUCCAGAAGUUUGCUCGGGGUUGGAGACGGGCCCUCCUGACAGAGUUCAAACGGCCAUUUUCCUCUGGAGCUUCGAGAACCAGUCCUGUUGAUGUGUUCCUUGCUGGGUUGGUAUGUGAGGAAAAGUCUACCCGCUGCAGGAUGCCCCGCCCCCAGAGCCCAGGACACCUCUGGACCGGAGGACGCUCCCAGGUGCCAUGGUAACGCGGGGAGGGGCGGGGCCAA